AGGACCAAACCAACUACGAUCCAGGUGACAGAGGGAGGGGGUGGAGCCUUCUCCAAGCAGCUGGGAAGUGAGCUGUGCCUGGCCAGUCUUGGGGGAGGGGCUGCAUUUCAGGAGGCUGCAGCUGACAAGAAGCUUCAAGCUGAGGUUAAUAUCAGGGUUGCAUAGGACCUGAGAAUCUGCAUGUGAUACCAGUUGAGCCCCAUAAAGGCAGUACAAUCAAAGAAAUACCCAGCAGGGUGAAGACUGUGCUGGACAAGCAGUUGGAGUGAGAAUCAAGACAGCUGGAUCACAGUGCCAGACCCACCACAACCCUUGUGACAGAGAGGAGGGGCCUUCUGCUCUUCAUCUCAGCCAGUGGGUGGAGCCUUCUCUGAGCUGCUUGGCAGUGAGCUGUGCCUGGCCAGUCUUGGGGGAGGAGCUGCAUUUCUCCAGGCUGCAGCUGACAAGAAGCUUCAAGGUUAAUAUCAGAGUUCCAUGAGACCUGGGCAAUCUGCAUGUGAUUCCAGGUGAGCCCCAGAAAGACAGUACAACAACAGAAGUGCCCAGCAGGGUGAAGGUUGUGCUAGACAAACAGUCGGAGUAAGAAUCAAGACAGCUAUAUUACAGGACCAGACUAUCACAAUUCUUGUGGCAGGGUAAGACUAUUCCCAUCUCAUGAAAUAUUUCACAUUAAACACUUAUUGAGAUCAUGAAGAAUAUUUUGCUUCAUGCUUUGCAGCUAUGGACUUUAAACUCAAAAAUACAUUUCAUAUUAAAAUCACAUUCAGUUGAACAUCUGAGGUAUAAUUCAACUUGAUCCUUGUUCUCUA
rnacentral:lncRNA from 1 species